AGCAAGGUUAGAAAGUAUCAUCCUACAGAAGAAAACUGAAGCCCAAGAAGAUGAGUGACCUCCUUAGGCUUCAAGGUGUGAAUUGACUAAAAUCAUUGACGAUCCAGGUGGUGGCCUGAUAUGAAGUCAUGAGAAAGCACUUCUUCAUCAUGGAACUGAACGAGAUUCCCAGCCAUCAGUGUCCACUCCCAUCGGUGCCACAGAGGCAGGUUGAAGCUUGAGCCACGGUCUCUGAGGACACAGAGGACAUCAUGCUUCGUCCACAGCCCCCCACGGAGAGGUGCAGUGUAAUCCUCCUAGUCCUUGGAGCUGAGAGCUGUUGAAGCCAUUGGUUACCCCAACCUCCUAAACCAGUGAUUCCCAGAGUUCAGCACCGAGUGACUUCCUACUACCGAGGACUCUCCCGGCAGUGGCUAACCUCGAAGAGAUCCUGCGACUUUUGAGAUACAAUCCACUCUGCGCUCCCACCGUCUCCACCCGGGGUUGCUCAGUUACCAGGAGAGAAGAUGACGCCCAGGCUUCCCCACCCAGCAGAGCAGAAAGUCACUGGUCAGGGACCAGGAAAAAAAAAGUCUAAUCUAAACAGAAAUAGCUGAAAUAAUUGCUGAGCAAAUCUAGAAAAUAGCUAGCUAAGUAAAUUGCUUUUCUUGCACAAAGUUUCUCUGAGUUUGCCCCUGAGCGGGUGGGGAAGAGCAACUCCCUGGCUGCUUAGCUGCACCCUGUUGCUUGCUUCCAGCUUCUCCUCCCUGCAGUCACCAGGCAUUUCUUACUGUACUAGCAGAGCAGCCACGCUCUGUCUUGAACGGUUGAACUUCCUGUGGAAACAUGGCAAGUUGGAAGGGAUUUCUGCUGGCACCCAAGGGUCCUCUGUGGCUCUGUUGUUUUGCUUUCUCUCUUGUUAUUUUGCUAUCAAAUUCAGAUUAACACAAGACCUGCAAAAUU